GGAGGAAAGCAGGGGAUCGCAAGACCUUGCGCUCAUUGAGCGGCCGAUGCCUGAUUAGCUAGUUGGUGAGGUAAAGGCUUACCAAGGCGACGAUCAGUAGCUGGUCUGAGAGGACGACAAACAACACUGGGACUGAGACACGGCCCAGACUCCUACGGGAGGCAGCAGUGGGGAAUUUUGGACAAUGGGGGAAACCCUGAUCCAGCCAUGCCGCGUGAGUGAAGAAGGCCUUCGGGUUGUAAAGCUCUUUCAGCCGGAACGAAACGGUCACGGCUAAUACCUGUGACUACUGACGGUACCGGAAGAAGAAGCACCGGCUAACUACGUGCCAGCAGCCGCGGGGAUACGUAGGGUGCGAGCGUUAAUCGGAAUUACUGGGCGUAAAGCGUGCGCAGGCGGUUUUGU
rnacentral:rRNA from 1 species